CAUUAAGUGACUGAAAUUCAAGUAAUGGUCUCUUAAACCAAUUUAUGGUAAAUUAGUAAAUACCCUUAAUG
rnacentral:tRNA from 1 species